rnacentral:rRNA from 1 species
AGCGAACGCUGGCGGCAGGCUUAACACAUGCAAGUCGAGCGGGCAUCUUCGGAUGUCAGCGGCAGACGGGUGAGUAACACGUGGGAACGUACCCUUCGGUUCGGAACAACUCUGGGAAACUGGAGCUAAUACCGGAUACGCCCUUAUGGGGAAAGGUUUACUGCCGAAGGAUCGGCCCGUGUGUGAUUAGCUAGUUGGUGGGUAACGGCCUACCAAGGCGACGAUCAGUAGCUGGUCUGAGAGGAUGAUCAGCCACACUGGGACUGAGGCACGGCCCAGACUCCUACGGGAGGCAGCAGUGGGGAAUAUUGGACAAUGGGCGCAAGCCUGAUCCAGCCAUGCCGCGUGAGUGAUGAAGGCCUUAGGGUUGUAAAGCUCUUUUGUCCGGGACGAUAAUGACGGUACCGGAAGAAUAAGCCCCGGCUAACUUCGUG